UGGCGGCAUGCCUUACACAUGCAAGUCGAGCGGCAGCGCGGGGGCAACCCUGGCGGCGAGCGGCGAACGGGUGAGUAAUACAUCGGAACGUGUCCUUUCGUGGGGGAUAACCGGUCGAAAGACUGGCUAAUACCGCAUGAGAUCUCACGAUGAAAGCGAGGGACCGCAAGGCCUCGCGCGAUUGGAGCGGCCGAUGUCGGAUUAGCUAGUUGGCGGGGUAAAAGCCCACCAAGGCGACGAUCCGUAGCUGGUUUGAGAGAACGACCAGCCACACUGGGACUGAGACACGGCCCAGACUCCUACGGGAGGCAGCAGUGGGGAAUUUUGGACAAUGGGCGCAAGCCUGAUCCAGCCAUGCCGCGUGUGUGAAGAAGGCCUUCGGGUUGUAAAGCACUUUCGGCCGGAACGAAAUCGCUUUCGUUAAUAGCGGGAGUGGAUGACGGUACCGGAAGAAGAAGCACCGGCUAACUACGUGCCAGCAGCCGCGGUAAUACGUAGGGUGCGAGCGUUAAUCGGAAUUACUGGGCGUAAAGGGUGCGCAGGCGGCGUCGCAAGUCAGGCGUGAAAUCCCCGGGCUUAACCUGGGAACUGCACUUGAAACUACGAUGCUGGAGUAUGGCAGAGGGAGGUGGAAUUCCACGUGUAGCGGUGAAAUGCGUAGAGAUGUGGAGGAACACCGAUGGCGAAGGCAGCCUCCUGGGCCAAUACUGACGCUCAUGCACGAAAGC
rnacentral:rRNA from 1 species